rnacentral:rRNA from 1 species
AUACGUAGGUGGCAAGCGUUGUCCGGAAUUACUGGGUGUAAAGGGCGUGUAGGCGGGAGGACAAGUCAGAUGUGAAAGCCCAUGGCUUAACUGUGGAAUUGCAUCUGAAACUGUUUUUCUUGAGUGCUGGAGAGGAAAGUGGAAUUCCUAGUGUAGCGGUGAAAUGCGUAGAGAUUAGGAGGAACACCAGUGGCGAAGGCGGCUUUCUGGACAGUAACUGACGCUGAGGCGCGAAAGCGUGGGGAGCAAACAGGAUUAGAUACCCUGGUAGUCCACGCUGUAAACGAUGGAUACUAGGUGUGGGAGGUAUCGACCCCUUCCGUGCCGGAGUUAACACAAUAAGUAUCCCACCUGGGGAGUACGGCCGCAAGGCUGAAACUCAAAUGAAUUGACGGGGG